GCUCAUAGGCAGAAGAGACUUGCCUUGUUUCAGAUGAGACUUUGGAUUGCAGACUUUUGAGGCCUGGCAGCUGUGGCGACUGAAUCUAAGAAGAAAGGCUGAUAAUGCUCUGGCUGGUUUCAUAAUAGGACUUUUCAAGGCACUGUCCCAUCCAUUAACUCAUUUGAAAUGAAAGGUAGGGUUUUCUUUUUUCCCCCCAUUAGGAAAGAUACUUACAUGUUUUAUUCAAAAUUCUUUUAAGCCACUACCAAAGAAGAGAAAGAAAUUAACAUAAUAACUCUCCGGGUGGUUCCCUGUUUACAAAGUAAGUUUUAACUUUUACUUUGUUUUCCUUCAGAGCCCUAAAUUCAACUCCUACUUUAUUCCAUAUUUCCAUUUUCAGUCAUCCUUGAUGCCUGAAAUGAUUUAGUUGAUGCCAUAUUGAUUUCGUUCUUGUUGGCUUCCUCAAAAUGUCUCUCAUUUUUCUGUCCCCUUGGCUCAUUUCUAAGUGUGUUUUCUAAUGUCCAUAUCCUGCACAAUUGCCAGCAGCACCAUGACCUAGGGAGGACCCUCAUUAUGAACUGCGUUCUACAGGAAAAAAGACACACGUCCCCUUCAAAUGAUGUGGCUUGCCCCAUGGAAAACAGAGUUGGUGUCUGAGUCAGGUUUGCUUCCCCAGAGCUCCAGGGCCAUUGCUAUUGUCCUCUUUCCUGCACGCUUCCUCAUUUGCAAAACAAUGUGAAUUCUGUUCUUGCUCUUAUAAUUAAAGGAAAAAUGAGGAUGAUCAAGAGUGGUUGCUUCAGGGACCUUCCACACUGCGAAGGCCACCUCUAUUUUUCCAGACUCCAGGUAUAUUUUAAAAUGAAGACAUGUCAACAUAGGUUUCUGUUGUAGUUAAAAUGUUUACACCUAUUAGCAAUUAUAUUUGUAUGAGAGUUGAAGGCUCUUCCAACACUGUCAGUGUACUUCUGUGACAGUAUGUAUCUAAACUCAUUUGGAAAUAAACAAUAAUUGUCUAAUUUUGGCCCUUAAUUGAGGUCCUAGCUUAAUGCCCUCUUUUCUCAUAAAGGAAUGCCCUUACAUGAACAUUAGGACUUUAGAGGACAGCAGUGGUGGCAACAGUGGAGUUGACUGCAGCUGGGGCAAAGGUAGCAGGUUAAUACCAGCUAACACCUCCAGAGCAUUUGCCAUGUGCCAGGGACAAUGCUAAGUAUUUUAUGUGUGCUAACACUAUGCUUUCUUAGGCAGGUACUAUUAUUAUCUGCUUUUUUUUAACAGAUGAAGAAACCGAGCCACACAGAGGUUAAAUAACUUGCCCAAGGGUGCACAACUACUAGUAGUAUUGAGUCUAUACUCUUAAGUAUUGUGCUAUUCCAUUUCUUACUGAAUACAAAGCAAAAAAACAUAAGGAUCAGAGGAGGAGUGUGAGUGUCCUCAUACUCACAGCAAAAGGAGGGAAUUCAGGAGAGGAUUGAAGAAGCGGUUCCUGUUUUUGAGGCAUUUGCAAUCAUUGCUGGAGAGACAGAACCAACAGAUGGGGAACAAUGGCCAGGGACUCCAGGCCUGGUUUAAGCAAAUGCCGCCCUGUGGUCUUUACCCAUGAAUGGUGUGGAAAAUGAGAGCAGGGAAGAGGAUUUACUCACUGGCUGUGGAGUUAGGUCAGAAGGGGGAUGGAAAGAAGGAACUGGAUGGCUUUGGGGACAUUUCUUAAUCUUUAGGCUUCACCUUCCUUAACUGAAAAUAAAGCCAUAAGUUACCUCCAGAA